GAUGAACGCUAGCGGCAGGCCUAAUACAUGCAAGUCGAACGGGAUCCAGAUCAAAGCUUGCUUUGGUCUGGUGAGAGUGGCGCACGGGUGCGUAACGCGUGAGCAACCUACCCUUGUCAGGGGGAUAGCCCGGCGAAGGUCGGAUUAAUACCGCAUGACAUCAUUGAGAGGCAUCUUUCGAUGAUCAAAGAUUUAUCGGACAAGGAUGGGCUCGCGUGACAUUAGCUAGUUGGUAAGGUAACGGCUUACCAAGGCUGCGAUGUCUAGGGGCUCUGAGAGGAGAAUCCCCCACACUGGUACUGAGACACGGACCAGACUCCUACGGGAGGCAGCAGUAAGGAAUAUUGGUCAAUGGACGGAAGUCUGAACCAGCCAUGCCGCGUGCAGGAAGACGGCCCUAUGGGUUGUAAACUGCUUUUAUACGGGAACAAACGUCGGUACGUGUACCGGUCUGAGUGUACCGUAAGAAUAAGGAUCGGCUAACUCCGUG
rnacentral:rRNA from 1 species